ensembl:lncRNA
AUGGGGGAGGGAAGGGCGGAGGCGGACUUCCGCGCAGAGCCAGGAGGGAACCACGAGCCAGUACUGGGUGAAACUGACGCUGCCGGGGAAGUGGCGCGCGGGGCUCCCGGCUUCCCAGCCCCCUUCCGGCAGGCAGGAGCCCAGGCGGCGGACACACUCCGUGAUCCCCUUCUGGCUGGAGGGGUCAGGCUUGGUGGACCCAGCAAGCAGCCUGAUGGAGUAGGGGGCACCAGACGCAGACCCGUACCGUCCAGGACUGCAAGCCCUCGCCGGCUCUGCGAGCUUUUAGGUUUCGUCUCUACCUCUGCACACCCACACUCGCCUCCUGGGCCGCGACAGCUUCCUCCUGUCAAUCAGGGGGUGGAUGUCACAACCAUAUAACGCAGCUCCUUCACCCGACUCCCACCCGCAAGACCUGAGACCUGACGGAUUAAAGCAGAGAGGAGUCAGAGUGAGCGCUGCGUUGAGGAAACUGCAUUCCAGGGCAGUAAGACUGGUGCCAAGAUGCAGUCGCGGCAAAAGCAUCCAGAGGUAGAUGCGGCGCCCCUCCGUUGCAGAGACCUUUAUUCCCCGCGCCUUCAGUCCUGCCUCACCCGAGGGCCUGCGGGUCCCGGGCGCCCGCCACCAGGCGGCGACGGAGAACAGGACGCGGCGCAGCUGGAAGGCGAAGGAUGGAGAGGGGGCGGGUGUCCGCCCGCCAGAUUCAGCGCUGCAAGCAUGGAGUUUCCAGCUGGUUGGGCUAAGUCUGGGAGGAGCAGUUUUUGCGGUGGAGGACUUACCUUGAGUUGUAACAUUUUAAUCCACUUGUAGCCCCUGCCUAGAGAAUCUGUAGAGGCGGGUGAGAGUGUGUAGGUGCAGUCUUGCUGCUUCCCCUGCCGAGUGUACUUCCCCUGUUUCUAUUUGGUUUCCUUUCCUGAUUUCCCCACCCACCGCUUUUUCUUUUUUUUUCUUCCUCUUGUCCUAUUACAAAUUAAACUGUACUUUACUGCGAUUUGGAAAUGCCCUAAAACUCCAGGCAUUUCUAUUAUGCUGCUCAAAAUUAAUUUGGCAUAGAAAUCUAGAUUUUUUGUUUAAGCUCACCAGAUUUUUUACUUUACAGGAGCCUACUGAAGAAAUGAAAGUUGAGAACUUUAGUAGUCAACAUGUGGGAUACUUACUUCUAAUUUGUUUCCACUUUAGUGAGAUAUAACUGAUAUAUAAUGAACUGCACAUAAAGUGCGUCCCUCAUUUGAUAAAUGUUGACUCAUGUAUCUCUCCGUGCAGCCAUCACCAAAAUCAAAAUAAUGAAUCAUUCCAUCACCCCAAAAAUUUUCUUAUGUACCUCUUUUCAUCACUGAAACAACCCUCUAAGCAACCUCUGAUCUUUAUGUCACUAUAGAUGAGUUUGCAUUUUUAAAAAUUGUGUAUGUGGAAUCAUAAAGCAGGUAGUAUUUUUGGUCUGGCUUCUUCUACUAAGCAAAAUUCUUUUGAGAUUCAUCUAUGUUAGCAUCAAUAGUUCAUUCUAUUUUUUUUAACUGAAUAGUAUUUCGUUGUAUAUAUGCGCUAUAAAUUGUCCAUUCACCUGUUGAUGGACAUUUUGGUUGUUCGAACUUUGGGCAAUUACAAAUAAAACUGAUAUGAACAUAUAUGUACAACUCUUUCUGUGGACAUAUGUUUACAUUACUUCUGAGUAAGUACCUAGGAGUGGAAUAGCUGGAUCAUAUGGAAUGUGUAUGUUUAACUUUUUAAGAAACUAUUAAGGCCAGGUACGGUGGCUCAUGCCUGCAAUCCCAGCACUUUGGGAGGCCAAGGUGGGCGGAUCACGAGGUCAAGAAAUCGAGACCAUCCUGGCCAACAUGGUGAAGCCCCAUCUCUACUAAAAAUACAAAAAUUAGCUGGGCAUGGUGGCACGUGCCUGCAGUCCCAGCUACUCGGAGGCUGAGGCAGGAGAAUCUCUUGAACCCAGGAGGCAGAGGUUGCAGUGACCUCAGAUCACACCAUUGCACUCCAGCUUAGCAACAGAGCGAGACUCCGUCUCAAAAAGAAAAAGAAAAAGAGACUAUUAAACUUUUUUUCAAAAUAGUUUUACUACUUUUCUUUCCCACAACAGUAUAUGAGAGAUCUGGUUGCACACAUCCUUGCCAACAUUUAUUAUGGUCUUUUAAAUUUUAGCUGAUCUAACAGAUGUGUAGUAAUAUCUCAUGUGGCUUAAUGACUAAUGAUGUUGAACGUAUUUUCCUAUGUCUUUUUGCUAUAUGUAUAUGUAUCUUCUUUGGUGAAGUGUCGUCAUAUAUUUUACUUGUUUUUUAUUAGAUUUUGGUUUCCUUAUUUGUGAGUUUUGAAAAUUCUUUAUUCUGUAUCCAAGACCUUUAUCACAUGUGGUUUACAAAAUAUUUUCUGACAGUCUGUAGCUUGUGUUUUCAUUCUCUUAACUGUUAUCAAAGAGAAAAAGUUUCUAAUUUUGAUGAAUCUAGUUCUUCAGCUUUAUCUAUUAUAAAUCAAAAUAUUGAUGUCAAAACUGAGAAAUAUUUGUCUAAUGUGAGAUCACAAAAAUUAUCAUCUUCUAUACUUUCCCCUAGAAAUUUCAUAGUUUUAGGUUUUACAUUUAUCUCUAUAAUUUAUUUUCAUUUUUCUAAUCAAAGUUCUUAUUUUUACAUAUUGUCAUCAGAUUUUUCCAGCACCGUUUGUUGAAAAUACUACCAUUUUUCAUUGAAAAAUCUUUGCAUCCUUUGCCAAAAAUUAACAUAUAUCUAUGAGUCAAUUUUUUAGACUCUAUCCUAUUCCAUUGACCUAUUUGUAUUUCUUUAAACCAAUGCCACAGAGUCUUGAUUACUGUAGCUUUAAAAUAAUUCUUAAAGUCAGGUAGUAUAACUUUUCCAACUUUGAUCCUCUUCAAAAUUAGUUUUUCAUUUUUAAUCCUUCUCAUUUUCGUACAAAUUUUAGAAUCAGCUAGACAAGGUCCACAAAAAGUCUUGUUGAGAUUUUCACUGGGGUUGCAUUGAUUCUGUCAACAAAUUAGAGAAUAAUUGACAUUUGGUCCAAAUUAAUCUUCUGAUCUAUGAAUAUUAUAUAUCUUUCCAUUUAUUUAGGUCUUCCGUAAUGUCAGCAGUGGACUCGUGUGCUUAAGGAGAGAGAGAUUUGGAAAAUACAGACAGAGAACAAGGCCAUGUGGAGACAGAGGCAGAGACUGAAGUUGUGCCACCAAAGGCAAAGAAUAUCAAGUAUCGUCAGUAACCCCAGGAAGCUAGAAGAGGCCAGGAAAGAUUUUUCUUAGAGACCUUGGAAGGAGCCUGACCCUGGAACACCCUGAAUUUAGACUUCUGGCCCCCCAAAACUGUGAAAGAAUAAAUUUCUGUUGUUUUAAGCAAUUCAGUUUGCAGUAAUUCAUUACAGCAGCCCUAGGAAAAGUAAUACAUAUCGAUAACAUUUAUUAUUUCCAUUUUACUGACUCUUUCAAGUUCUGUGCUUAUAAAUUCGUCAUAGUGAAGUAAGCUUUAAAUAAAACUUUGAAAGUAUAUUCAAAUUCUGUUGCUAUAGUUAGCAC